AACGAACGCUGGCGGCAGGCUUAACACAUGCAGGUCGAGCGAGACCUUCGGGUCUAGCGGCGGACGGGUGAGUAACGCGUGGGAACGUGCCCUUCUCUACGGAAUAGCCCCGGGAAACUGGGAGUAAUACCGUAUACGCCCUUUGGGGGAAAGAUUUAUCGGAGAAGGAUCGGCCCGCGUUGGAUUAGGUAGUUGGUGGGGUAAUGGCCCACCAAGCCGACGAUCCAUAGCUGGUUUGAGAGGAUGAUCAGCCACACUGGGACUGAGACACGGCCCAGACUCCUACGGGAGGCAGCAGUGGGGAAUCUUAGACAAUGGGGGCAACCCUGAUCUAGCCAUGCCGCGUGAGUGAUGAAGGCCUUAGGGUUGUAAAGCUCUUUCAGCUGGGAAGAUAAUGACGGUACCAGCAGAAGAAGCCCCGGCUAACUCCGUG
rnacentral:rRNA from 1 species